CAAUAGCGUAUAUUAAAGUUGUUGCAGUUAAAAAGCUCGUAGUUGGAUUUCUGGUGGGAGCGAUCGGUCUGGCGCUUGGCGCGAGUACUUGCAUCGUCUCCGGCCAUCCUUGGGGAGAGUCUGUCUGGCAUUAGGUUGUCGGGCAGAGGAUCCUCAUCGUUUACUGUGAAAAAAUUAGAGUGUUCAAAGCAGGCCUCGGCCUCUGAAUACAUUAGCAUGGAAUAAUAAGAUAGGACUUUGGUGGUCUAUUUUGUUGGUUUGCACGCCAAAGUAAUGAUUAAUAGGGAUAGUUGGGGGUAUUCGUAUUCAAUUGUCAGAGGUGAAAUUCUUGGAUUUAUGGAAGACGAACUACUGCGAAAGCAUUUACCAAGGAUGUUUUCAUUAA
rnacentral:rRNA from 1 species